rnacentral:tRNA from 1 species
GAAACACUAGUUAAAUAUAAUAACAGUGCCUUGUCAAGACACAAUUACCUCAGGUGUGUUUCU